rnacentral:rRNA from 1 species
GGAUGAACGCUGGCGGCGUGCCUAAUCCAUGCAAGUCGAGCGAACAGACGAGGAGCUUGCUCCUCUGACGUUAGCGGCGGACGGGUGAGUAACACGUGGAUAACCUACCUAUAAGACUGGGAUAACUUCGGGAAACCGGAGCUAAUACCGGAUAAUAUAUUGAACCGCAUGGUUCAAUAGUGAAAGACGGUUUUGCUGUCACUUAUAGAUGGAUCCGCGCCGCAUUAGCUAGUUGGUAAGGUAACGGCUUACCAAGGCGACGAUGCGUAGCCGACCUGAGAGGGGGAUCGGCCACACUGGAACUGAGACACGGUCAAGACUCCUACGGGAGGCAGCAGUAGGGAAUCUUCCGCAAUGGGCGAAAGCCUGACGGAGCAACGCCGCGUGAGUGAUGAAGGUCUUCGGAUCGUAAAACUCUGUUAUUAGGGAAGAACAAAUGUGUAAGUAACUAUGCACGUCUUGACGGUACCUAAUCAGAAAGCCACGGCUAACUACGUG